UACGUAGGAGGCAAGCGUUAUCCGGAAUGACUGGGCGUAAAGGGUGCGUAGGUGGUUCAGCAAGUUAGUAGCGUAACUCCGGGGCUCAACCUCGGCACUACUACUAAAACUGUUGGACUUGAGUGCAGGAGGGGCAACUGGAAUUCCUAGUGUAGCGGUGAAAUGCGUAGAUAUUAGGAGGAACACCAGUGGCGAAGGCGGCCUGCUGGGCUUUUACUGACGCUGAGGCUCGAAAGUGUGGGGAGCAAACAGG
rnacentral:rRNA from 1 species